GCAGGUGGCAAGCGUUGUCCGGAAUUAUUGGGCGUAAAGCGCGCGCAGGCGGUCCUUUAAGUCUGAUGUGAAAGCCCACGGCUCAACCGUGGAGGGUCAUUGGAAACUGGGGGACUUGAGUACAGAAGAGGAAAGCGGAAUUCCAAGUGUAGCGGUGAAAUGCGUAGAGAUUUGGAGGAACACCAGUGGCGAAGGCGGCUUUCUGGUCUGUAACUGACGCUGAGGCGCGAAAGCGUGGGGAGCAAACAGGGAUUAGAUACCCUGGUAGUCCACGCCGUAAACGAUGAGUGCUAAGUGUUAGGGGGGUUUCCGCCCCCUUAGUGCUGCAGCUAACGCAUUAAGCACUCCGCCUGGGGAGUACGGCCGCAAGGCUG
rnacentral:rRNA from 1 species